GAUGAACGCUGGCGGUAUGCUUAACACAUGCAAGUCGAACGGUCACUUCGGUGAUAGUGGCGGACGGGUGAGUAACGCGUGAGAAUCUGUCUUCAGGUCGGGGACAACAGUUAGAAAUGACUGCUAAUACCGGAUGUGCCUUUGGGUGAAAGAUUUAUUGCCUGAAAAAGAGCUCGCGUCAGAUUAGCUAGUAGGUGGUGUAAGAGACUACCUAGGCUCCGAUCUGUAGAUGGUCUGAGAGGACGAUCAGCCACACUGGAACUGAGACACGGUCCAGACUCCUACGGGAGGGAGCAGUGGGGAAUGGUACGAAAUGGGCGAAAGCAUGAAGGAGCAAUACCGCGUGAGGGACGAAGGCUUGUGGGUAGUAAACCUCUUUUAUCAAGGAAGAUGAUGACGGUAAUUGAGGAAUAAGCAUCGGCUAACUCUGUG
rnacentral:rRNA from 1 species